UACAGAGGUCCCGAGCGUUGUUCGGAUUUAUUGGGCGUAAAGGGUGCGUAGGCGGCGGAGUAAGUUGGGUGUGAAAUCCCGAGGCUCAACCUCGGAAUUGCAUUCAAUACUGCUUCGCUCGAGUACUGGAGAGGAGGCUGGAAUUUACGGUGUAGCAGUGAAAUGCGUAGAUAUCGUAAGGAAGGCCGGUGGCGAAAGCGAGCCUCUGGACAGUUCCUGACACUGAGGCACGAAGGCUAGGGGAGCGAACGGG
rnacentral:rRNA from 1 species